rnacentral:rRNA from 1 species
UAAGGAAUAUUGGACAAUGGAGGCAACUCUGAUCCAGCCAUGCCGCGUGAAGGAAUAAGGCCCUAUGGGUUGUAAGCUUCUUUUAGACGGGACAAAACCCCUUUACGUGUAAAGGGUUGAUGGUACUGUCAGAAUAAGCAUCGGCUAACUUCGUGCCAGCAGCCGCGGUAAUACGAAGGAUGCAAGCGUUAUCCGGAAUUAUUGGGUUUAAAGGGUGCGUAGGCGGACUAAUAAGUCAGUGGUGAAAGCCUGCAGCUUAACUGCAGAAUUGCCAUUGAUACUGUUAGUCUUGAGUACAGUUGAGGUAGGCGGAAUGUGUCAUGUAGCGGUGAAAUGCUUAGAUAUGACACAGAACACCGAUUGCGAAGGCAGCUUGCUAAGCUGUAACUGACGCUGAGGCACGAAAGCGUGGGGAUCAAACA